GAUGAACGCUGGCGGCGUGCUUAACACAUGCAAGUCGAACGGAAAGGCUCCUGCUUGCAGGGGUACUCGAGUGGCGAACGGGUGAGUAACACGUGGGUGAUCUGCCCUGCACUUCGGGAUAAGCCUGGGAAACUGGGUCUAAUACCGGAUAGGACCACAUUUUGGAUGGUGUGGUGGAAAGUUUUUCGGUGUGGGAUGAGCUCGCGGCCUAUCAGCUUGUUGGUGGGGUAAUGGCCUACCAAGGCGUCGACGGGUAGCCGGCCUGAGAGGGUGUACGGCCACAUUGGGACUGAGAUGCGGCCCAGACUCCGACGGGAGGCAGCAGUGGGGAAUAUUGCACAAUGGGCGCAAGCCUGAUGCAGCGACGCCGCGUGGGGGAUGACGGCCUUCGGGUUGUAAACUCCUUUCGCUAGGGACGAAGCGUUUUUGUGACGGUACCUGGAGAAGAAGCACCGGCUAACUACGUG
rnacentral:rRNA from 1 species